rnacentral:rRNA from 1 species
UAGCGAACGUCGGAACGACGGGCGACUUGUGUCCGGACGUGGGCGGAACGGGUAGGAGUAAUUACAAUAAGUAACCUACGGCCGUUUACUAGGGGGAGUAACUAGCUGAACGGGACAGCCUAAGACCGCAUAGGUAGGGACACUGCAUGGUGACCGUAUUAAAAGUUAGCUGCAAGGCGACUGGUAGAGGAUGGACUUAUGGCGCAUUAGCUGGUUGGUGAGGUAACGGCUCACCAAGGCGACGAUGCGUAGCCGACCUGAGAGGGUGACCGGCCACACUGGGACUGAGACACGGCCCAGACUCCUACGGGAGGCAGCAGUAGGGAAUUUUCGGCAAUGGGGGGAACCCUGACCGAGCAACGCCGCGUGAAGGAAGAAGGAAUUCGUUCUGUAAACUUCUGUUAUAAAGGAAGAAAGACGGAUGGAGGAAAUGACAUCCGAGUGACGGUACUUUUAUGAGAAAGCCACGGCUAACUACGUG